GGCGGCGUAGCUCAGUUGGUAGAGCCCCCGGUUCAUACCCGGUCUGUCAUUGGUUCAAGUCCGAUCGCCGCUACCA
rnacentral:tRNA from 1 species